CGAGCCGGGCACUCUGGAGGGACUGCCGGCGACAAGCCGGAGGAAGGUGGGGAUGACGUCAAGUCAUCAUGGCCCUUAUGUCCAGGGCGACACACGUGCUACAAUGGCCGGCACAGCGGGAAGCGGAGGGGCGACCCUGAGCGGAUCCCUUGAAAGCCGGUCCCAGUUCGGAUUGCAGUCUGCAACUCGACUGCAUGAAGUUGGAAUCGCUAGUAAUCGCGGAUCAGCCAAGCCGCGGUGAAUACGUUCCCGGGCCUU
rnacentral:rRNA from 1 species